rnacentral:rRNA from 1 species
UCGGCUUAGAGUUUGAUCAUGGCUCAGGACGAACGCUGGCGGCAUGCCUAAUACAUGCAAGUCGAACGAGUGCUUGCACAGUGGCGAACUGGUGAGUAACACGUGGGAAAUCUGCCCAGAAGCAGGGGAUAACACUUGGAAACAGGUGCUAAUACCGUAUAACAACAAAUCCGCAUGGAUUUUGUUGAAGGGUGUUCGUAUCACUUCUGGAUGAUCCCGCGGCGUAUUAGUUAGUUGGUGAGGUAAAGGCCCACCAAGACGAUGAUACGUAGCCGACCUGAGAGGGUAAUCGGCCACAUUGGGACUGAGACACGGCCCAAACUCCUACGGGAGGCAGCAGUAGGGAAUCUUCCACAAUGGACGAAAGUCUGAUGGAGCAAUGCCGCGUGAGUGAAGAAGGGUUUCGGCUCGUAAAACUCUGUUGUUAAAGAAGAACACCUUUGAGGUAAUUCAAGGGUUGACGGUAUUUAACCAGAAAGCCACGGCUAACUACGUGCCAGCAGCCGCGGUAAUACGUAGGUGGCAAGCGUUGUCCGGAUUUAUUGGGCGUAAAGCGAGCGCAGGCGGUUUUUUAAGUCUGAUGUGAAAGCCUUCGGCUUAACCGGAGAAGUGCAUCGGAAACUGGGAGACUUGAGUGCAGAAGAGGACAGUGGAACUCCAUGUGUAGCGGUGGAAUGCGUAGAUAUAUGGAAG